GACGAACGCUGGCGGCGUGCUUAACACAUGCAAGUCGAACGGAAAGGUCAUGCUUUUGUGGGGUGCUCGAGUGGCGCACGGGUGAGUAAAACGUGAGUAUCCUGCCCUUGACUUUGGGAUAAAUUCAGGAAACUGGGGAUAAUACAGGAUAGGAGCUCCUGCUGCAUGGUGGGGGUUGGAAAGUUUCGGCGGUUUGGGAUGGACUCGAGGCUUAUCAGCUUGUUGGUGAGGUAGUGGCUUACCAAGGCUUAGACGGGUAGCCCGCCUGAGAGCGUGACCGGCCACCAUGGUACUGCGAGACGCCGCAGACGCCUACGGGACGCAGCAGUCGGGAAUAUUGCACAGUGAGCGGAAGCCUGAUGUAGCAACGCUCCGUUCGUGAUAACGGGCUUCUGGGUGUAAACCGCUUUCGACGGUGCCGAAGAGUGAGUGACGGUAAUGGGUAAAGAAGCACCGGCUAACUACGUG
rnacentral:rRNA from 1 species